AGCGAACGCUGGCGGCAGGCUUAACACAUGCAAGUCGGACGCCCCGCAAGGGGAGUGGCAGACGGGUGAGUAACACGUGGGAACGUACCCUUUGGUUCGGAAUAACUUGGGGAAACUCAAGCUAAUACCGGAUAAGCCCUUAUGGGGAAAGGUUUACUGCCGAAGGAUCGGCCCGCGUCUGAUUAGCUAGUUGGUGAGGUAAUGGCUCACCAAGGCGACGAUCAGUAGCUGGUCUGAGAGGAUGAUCAGCCACACUGGGACUGAGACACGGCCCAGACUCCUACGGAGGCAGCAGUGGGGAAUCUUGGACAAUGGGCGCAAGCCUGAUCCAGCCAUGCCGCGUGAGUGAAGAAGGUCUUCGGAUUGUAAAGCUCUUUUGCCAGGGACGAUAAUGACGGUACCUGGAGAAUAAGCCCCGGCAAACUUCGUGCCAGCAGCCGCCGUAA
rnacentral:rRNA from 1 species